rnacentral:rRNA from 1 species
GACGAACGCUGGCGGCGUGCCUAAUACAUGCAAGUCGAGCGAACAGAUGAGGAGCUUGCUCCUCUGACGUUAGCGGCGGACGGGUGAGUAACACGUGGAUAACCUACCUAUAAGACUGGGAUAACUUCGGGAAACCGGAGCUAAUACCGGAUAAUAUAUUGAACCGCAUGGUUCAAUAGUGAAAGACGGUUUUGCUGUCACUUAUAGAUGGAUCCGCGCCGCAUUAGCUAGUUGGUAAGGUAACGGCUUACCAAGGCGACGAUGCGUAGCCGACCUGAGAGGGUGAUCGGCCACACUGGAACUGAGACACGGUCCAGACUCCUACGGGAGGCAGCAGUAGGGAAUCUUCCGCAAUGGGCGAAAGCCUGACGGAGCAACGCCGCGUGAGUGAUGAAGGUCUUCGGAUCGUAAAACUCUGUUAUUAGGGAAGAACAAAUGUGUAAGUAACUAUGCACGUCUUGACGGUACCUAAUCAGAAAGCCACGGCUAACUACGUG